CAGAGAAACCCACAUUUGGUGGUGAAUGGAGUUAGCAGAUUUGAUAUCAUGCAAGGAGAAAUAGGUGACUGCUGGAUGCUGGCUGCCCUGGGCUCCCUGACACUGCAGAAGCAAUUUUUGGAAAACGUUUUACCAAAGGACCAAGGAUUCCAGGACAAUUAUGCUGGCAUUUUUCAUUUCAGGUUCUGGCAGUAUGGAGAGUGGGUGGAUGUGGUGAUAGACGACCAGCUGCCGAUCCUGAACGGAGCGUACCUGUCUGUGCACCCCCGAACGUCAAACGAAUUCUGGCCAUCCCUGCUGGAAAAAGCAUAUGCCAAGUUGAGGGGCUCCUACCAGAGCUUGCAUGGAGGCUACCUUUCUGAUGCGUUAGUAGACUUCACAGGUGGAGUCCAAGUGCAAUUUUCUUUGAAGGAUCCCCCUCCUGAUCUGGAGGAGAUACUGAAAGCAGCUGACAGAUCUCAGUGCCUGAUGGGGUGUAGCACAUCAGCCCAGCUGAAGAGAAACAUAGAGCUGAGAAAUGGGAUUGUACAGGGUCAUGCCUACACUGUCACAGGAGCUGUGAAGAUACCCUACAAGAAUGGCUGGAAACAUAUCAUCAGGAUCUGGAAUCCGUGGGGCCACGGGGAGUGGAAGGGGCCCUGGAGUGAUAACUCUCCUCAGUGGGACCACGUUGAGCCUCAAUGCAGAGAAGCCCUCCUCAGAAAUAAGGAUGAUGGAGAAUUCUGGAUGUCCUGUGAGAACUUCCAGGAGCAGUUUUCCUGGCUGUAUAUCUGCAACAGCACACCAACGUUUUUGGACUUUGGAGACCAGCAGUACACGACGUGGUCCACGGACAGGCACAUCAAUCUGUGGAGUCCAGCCCUUCCCACAGGCAGGAGCAACUCCUCCUCAGGGGAAGCUCCAAGAAACCCUCUGUAUAUUUUCCAAGUGCCAGAUCAUGACCCCAAACCCUAUAAUGUGCUCAUUUCACUCAUGCAAAAGCAUGCUGAGGAUACGAGGGAUGCAAAAAACCUGAAGAUUGGCUUUUUCAUCACCAAGGAUAACUCCAGAGUCCUGAAGCAGACUUUUUCCCUGGCUCGAGAUGUGACCUGCUACUUCACCUUGAGGCCAGGCACCUAUGCUGUGGUUCCUGCCAGCACAGAGGACCAAGGGUUUGAGUUCCUCUUGCGGAUUUUCCUGAAGCGUGACUACAGCGAGAGCUCAAACUCUCUUCCAAGCCCAGUGCCACCAAUGGAUGUACCGAGACAGAACGAGGACAGCUCCUAUAAGGCUGUCUUCUUAAGAUAUGCUAAGCAGGGCUCAGAUAUGGAUGCCUUGCAGCUGCAACAACUGCUUAAUGAAGUGAUCCUGCGAGAUGAAAUGACCAGCCUGGGAGGAAGAUUCAGCUUCGAUUCAUGCAGAGGCAUUUUAGCUCUGAUGGAUCUCCACUCGAACGGACGACUGACGCUGCAAGAGUUCAGGAGCCUCUGGCAAAUCCUCGCUGAGUACACGGAUAUUUUCAGCAAGGCAGACAGAAACCGUUCUGGAUUUCUUGAUGUGUCUGAACUGAAGAGUGCAAUACAGAUGGCAGGUCUGGCCGUCAGCGAGCAGCUGCUGCGCCUGCUGGUCCUGCGCUAUGGCGACACCGCCGGCAGAGUUGGCUUCUCCGACUUCGUCUGCUGCCUGCUGCGCCUCAAAACCAUGACCCGUGCAUUUCAAAACUUAGCAGAGGGUGGGUCACAAAUUUCAGUGACAUCAGCAGAGUGGCUGACUCUUGUCAUGUACACCUAAAGAGAUGUCAGAGCUCAAGGUGGCUGGACUGACCUGUUUGGUGUGGCUGCUGCACAUUUGCUGGGGCUAAGAAGCCCCAAGCCCCUCAGCCUUUCUUUGCCAGAGAGACGCUCCAGUCCCCUCAGCAUCGGAAGCGCUUCCCGCAGUUUCAGGCGUGAGCUGCAGAUGGCAGACUUGACCUGCGGACUGGUCUCCAGACCACCACUCACUGUCUCUCCCAGCCAGCUCGCCACUUUCAACCAGGAGACCAAAGUACAUGCAGCAUCUUGUAGGUGAGACAUGCUACCACAGCUUGCUCUGGGGAUGUUAAACUCUUGCAAAAUAGGUUCUUCUGCACAAACAAAGGCACCUGGCUGACACUGGCAGCACCUGAGUUGCCCUUCCGGUGCUGCACCUACCUUCUUCCACCCACAGAAGAAAGAAAUUGGACAGAGAAAAGCACCAAAGGCAAUAAAAGCUUUCUGGGCAGCUUCUGACUGAGGAACUGUUAAAUAGACGAAGAUAUCUUAGCCUGGCAAAGAGGUGACUACACCGACGUGGACUGGAGGUGCUCUGUUACAUGAGCCAGGAGCAGCAAAGAAAUCAUCUGCUGGUUUGUGCAAGCUUUACACAGCCUGGAGAUGGUAGGGCUCACCUCUGUGGGACACUGGGGCUGCCAAACCCUGGUGGUGUUCAAAAGCAGUAGGAAAGGAAUCAGCUGAGGGGUACCAUGCUCAAAGGCAUCUCCUUCAGUGCAUGAUGAAUCUGGUCCCUGACAUUAUACCCUUCCCAGGGUGCCUGCUGUGGGAGAAAGGAGACUGCGCCAGUAGCCCUUUUAGCUGGCCUGAUCCAUCACUUUCUGUGGCCUUGGCCUGGUGAUCCAAGUGAAGGAAUGCCAUGAGAUGCUCAGCUUUCAAUUCCAAACAUCCUUUUUCCAGGAGAAAAGCCUGCGAGUCGGCGGCACUG